rnacentral:rRNA from 1 species
GCGAUACAGGGUGACAGCCCCGUACACAAAAAUGCACAUGCUGUGAGCUCGAUGAGUAGGGCGGGACACGUGGUAUCCUGUCUGAAUAUGGGGGGACCAUCCUCCAAGGCUAAAUACUCCUGACUGACCGAUAGUGAACCAGUACCGUGAGGGAAAGGCGAAAAGAACCCCGGCGAGGGGAGUGAAAAAGAACCUGAAACCGUGUACGUACAAGCAGUGGGAGCAC